CCCUUAGAUGUUCUGGGCUGCACGCGCGCUGCACUGGUGCGUUCAGCGAGUUUAGCACCUUAACAGAUAUGUUUGGGUAAUCUUCUGAAAACGCACCGUGAUGGGGAUCGAUUAUUGUAAUUAUUAAUCGUCAACGAGGAAUUCCUAGUAAGUGUGAAUCAUCAGUUCGCGCUGAUUACGUCCCUGCCCUUUGUACACACCGCCCGUCGCUGCUACCGAUUGAGUGGUCCGGUGAAUUAUUCGGACCGGUGGACUGUGGGGAAACCCGCGGCCUGCUGGGAAGUCUUGUGAACCUUAUCACUUAGAGGAAGCAGAAGUCGUAACA
rnacentral:rRNA from 1 species